UGAAAGGAAGUGGCGGGCUCGCUACAACUCCGAGCGUAGUAAUUCAUUAUCUCGCUAGGGAGGUUGCGGCGUGCUCCUGCCGUUAAAGACCCAUCUUUAACCAAGGUUGACCUCGGAUCAGGUAGGAAUACCCGCUGAACUUAAGCAUAUCAAUAAGCGGAGGAAAAGAAACCAACAGGGAUUGCCCUAGUAACGGCGAGUGAAGCGGCAACAGCUCAAAUUUGAAAUCUGGCUUCGGCCCGAGUUGUAAUUUGUAGAGGAUGCUUUUGGUGAGGUGCCUUCUGAGUUCCCUGGAACGGGACGCCAGAGAGGGUGAGAGCCCCGUAUAGUCGGCCACCGAUCCUUUGUAAAGCUCCUUCGACGAGUCGAGUAGUUUGGGAAUGCUGCUCAAAAUGGGAGGUAUAUCUCUUCUAAAGCUAAAUAUAGGCCAGAGACCGAUAGCGCACAAGUAGAGUGAUCGAAAGAUGAAAAGCACUUUGAAAAGAGGGUUAAAUAGCACGUGAAAUUGUUGAAAGGGAAGCGCUUGUGACCAGACUUGUGCCGGGCUGAUCAUCCAGUGUUCUCACUGGUGCACUCGACCCGGCUCA
rnacentral:rRNA from 1 species